rnacentral:lncRNA from 1 species
GAUGAAGAUGUGUUUUUGCUUGAUACAGUGAUAUAUCAUUCUCUGUCAAUAAUAAUAAUAUAUUUUUGUUGCUGUUUGUUUGUGUCUCAGACUGUUUUGGUCAGGUUGAUAAAGGAGCUAAUAUUCUUGAAAUUUAUCGCAAUCAUUGUGAUACUGAUCACACUUGCUCGCAUGACUGCUGCUACUUGCUCUUUUUGGUUUUUUGCUGGAUAAAUUGAAAGACUUGCGUUUAGCAUCUGAUCACUCUUCUUUGUGUGUGUUUCUGCAAGUAAAAAUGGUUAAGGGCUUUGUAUGUACUUUUCAUUCUGAUGGGGGUUAUUUGGGAUUUAAAGUUUUUGACAUUCUCAGAGUUUCCAUAAAUUUGCUGCAGGUAACAUUUUCCCUUUAUGAGUCUGUGCAAUAAGCUUGACGACAGAGGUGGAAAGGCGGCGAGGUGGAUGGGACGAGGUUGCUG